rnacentral:misc_RNA from 1 species
GAUGAAGAACGCAGCGAAAUGCGAUAAGUAAUGUGAAUUGCAGAAUUCAGUGAAUCAUCGAAUCUUUGAACGCACAUUGCGCCCCCUGGUAUUCCGGGGGGCAUGCCUGUCCGAGCGUCAUUACAAACCUCAAGCCCAGCUUGGUGUUGGGCCCCGCCGCCCCGGCGGGCCCUAAAGUCAGUGGCGGUGCCGUCCGGCUCCGAGCGUAGUAAUUCUUCUCGCUCUGGAGGUCCGGUCGUGUGCUCGCCAGCAACCCCCAAUUUUUUUCAGGUUGACCUCGGAUCAGGUAGGGAUACCCGCUGAACUUAAGCAUAUCAAUAAGCGGAGGA